UACGGAGGGUGCAAGCGUUAUCCGGAUUUACUGGGUUUAAAGGGUGCGUAGGUGGAUUAGUAAGUCAGUGGUGAAAUCUCCGGGCUUAACCCGGAAACUGCCAUUGAUACUAUUAGUCUUGAAUUAUCUGGAGGUAAGCGGAAUAUGUCAUGUAGCGGUGAAAUGCUUAGAUAUGACAUAGAACACCCAUUGCGAAGGCAGCUUACUACGGAUAUAUUGACACUGAGGCACGAAAGCGUGGGGAUCAAACAGG
rnacentral:rRNA from 1 species